GCGGAAGGAUCAUUACCGAACGCUUGAGGAUGUUGCUGGCCUUGAGUGGGCAUGUGCACUCCUCGAACAUUCCAACCUCACACCUGUGCACCUUUUGUAGGCUUGCAAUGUCGGGCCUAUGUAUUUUUACCUCACACACACCAUUUGAAUGUCAUUUGAAUGUCUUGUUAUCGAUGAUAAAUGAUAUACAACUUUCAACAAUGGAUCUCUUGGCUCUCGCAUCGAUGAAGAACGCAGCGAAAUGCGAUACGUAAUGUGAAUUGCAGAAUUCCGUGAAUCAUUGAAUCUUUGAACGCACCUUGCGCCCCUCGGUAUUCCGAGGGGCAUGCCUGUUUGAGUGUCAUUGAAUUCUCAACUUGACCUGGGGGGCUCUCCCUGGACGAGUCAAAGUUGGAUUGUGGAGUUGUGCCGGUCACCWUUGGGCGACCGGCUCCUCUGAAAAGCAUUAGCGAAAGGUCUCGAGCUAACCCUGGCAUUGAUAGUGUCAUCUAUGCCUCUGGUGAAGCCGAUCGUACUUUGUUCGCUUCCAGCGGUCCCUCUUGGGACAAAUCGAACGCACCUUUUUACAAUCACCUCAAA
rnacentral:rRNA from 1 species